AAAAAAAAAGGAGAAAUGGGGGAAAGAAUGGGAUUGUUUAAAGGUAAAGUACCCAUUUGUUGUUGUGAUUUGUUUGUGGGAAAAAUAAGCUGGUGUUAUGUGGGCGACCUUAUAUAGAAUUAGAAAUAGGUACAUUUUCACUUAUAUAGAAUCUCUUUUAGGGGAAUUGAUCCUAAAAAGAUUAAACAAAUUUUAUUUUGUUAAUGAUUUUCUUACUCAUGUUUGUUCUGCACAGAUCACUAUUUUCGUUAUGUAUUAAUGGGAAUUUAAAAUUUGUCAAGAAUCAAUCGACACCAAGUAAUGAGAAGAAAAAAAGAAGGCAUUGGAGGAGAAAAUCAAGUUUCAGGCGAAUAGUUGUCUCUUUUUUUCUGAAGGCAUUCAGAAUUUCAGAUGUGUACGAGUGUAAUCGGAGACACAACGCCCGACACGGUUAUACGAGUUAACAUAUAAUAUUUACAAAAGAAUGUAACGUGAAAGUUUCACUCGAAAAUAUAUUUAUAUUUUUCUAUCGCCCAUGUUUAUGUGGAACCAUGCCGUUUUAGACA